rnacentral:rRNA from 1 species
UACGUAGGGGGCAAGCGUUGUUCGGAAUUACUGGGCGUAAAGCGCUCGUAGGCGGUCUGAAAAGUCGGAUGUGAAAGCCCCGGGCUCAACUUGGGAACUGCAUUUGAUACUGUCAGACUAGAGUACAGAAGAGGUGACUGGAAUUCCCAGUGUAGCGGUGAAAUGCGUAGAUAUUGGGAGGAACACCAGAUGCGAAGGCGGGUCACUGGGCUGAUACUGACGCUGAAGUGCGAAAGCCAGGGGAGCGAACGGG